CCCCUCAAGCGUAGCUGGUAUUGGACGUUCGCGGGCCCUCUUUGGGGGGCCUGCGCGCCCAAAAAGCAGUGGCGGUCCCUGGGGAUUUCGCGCGUAGUAACUAUUCUCCCGCGUUGGAAAGAACUGAUGGGCCCUGCCAACACCCCCCAUAAAUCUCCAUGAUUGACCUCGGAUCAGGUAGGGAUACCCGCUGAACUUAA
rnacentral:misc_RNA from 1 species